rnacentral:misc_RNA from 1 species
GCAAGUGCAGGGUAAACGAGAAAAAAGUUUGCAUUUUGUUUUUGUCAUUUCUGGAAUUUUGAUUCUGAUACAGUAAAAACAUGUCAUUUUGUGUCAUCUAUAGACCUGCUUUAAUGCUGGCAGCAAAGUCCUAAAUAAGAAAAAGAUAUUAUUACAUUAUGUUUCUGUGAGAUCAUUUCAUCAUUUUAAUAUGAUUCAGCUGUUCCAUUUUCCUAAAACAAUUGAAGAACAUUUGGCACAGCAAAUGCUUUGUUAUUCCAUACGCUGAGCAACAUGUAUAAUUGUUAUUUUAUGUUACUGGUGUGGGCCUGAAGUGUAAAUCUAGCCUUUGACUCUGUGGUUCAAUGGGAUUAAAUUCAAAGCCAACUGUGCCCUUAUGCAGGGGUGUAGGGUUUAAGGAGGGGGAAAGCCAUCCCCUGAUUUGUCUUGCAAUAUCACAUCCUUUACAGAAUGGUGGAUGUUCUGAAUUGACAGAAAUUCAUUCAUUUGUUAAUGUGGAAUUUAUUGAUGCCCUUUAUAAUAUGUAUUUCUAAUUUUAAGCAGAUACCUUGG